GUUUGAUCCUGGCUCAGGACGAACGCUGGCGGCGUGCUUAACACAUGCAAGUCGAACGGAAAGGCCCUGCUUGCAGGGUACUCGAGUGGCGAACGGGUGAGUAACACGUGGGUGAUCUGCCCUGCACUCUGGGAUAAGCCUGGGAAACUGGGUCUAAUACCGGAUAGGACUGCACUUUAGUGUGUGUGGUGGAAAGUUUUUUCGGUGUAGGAUGAGCUCGCGGCCUAUCAGCUUGUUGGUGGGGUAAUGGCCUACCAAGGCUUUGACGGGUAGCCGGCCUGAGAGG
rnacentral:rRNA from 1 species